rnacentral:rRNA from 1 species
GAUGAACGCUGGCGGCAUGCCUUACACAUGCAAGUCGAACGGCAGCACGGGGCAACCUGGUGGCGAGUGGCGAACGGGUGAGUAAUGCAUCGGAACGUGCCAUUGAGUGGGGGAUAACGUAGCGAAAGUUGCGCUAAUACCGCAUAUUCUGUGAGCAGGAAAGCAGGGGACCGCAAGGCCUUGCGCUCUUUGAGCGGCCGAUGUCAGAUUAGCUAGUUGGUGAGGUAACGGCUUACCAAGGCGACGAUCUGUAGCGGGUCUGAGAGGAUGAUCCGCCACACUGGAACUGAGACACGGUCCAGACUCCUACGGAGGCAGCAGUGGGGAAUUUUGGACAAUGGGCGCAAGCCUGAUCCAGCCAUGCCGCGUGAGUGAAGAAGGCC